rnacentral:rRNA from 1 species
AUGGCCCUCGCUGACGCGGAGGAAGAAGUGUCACAGCAGAGCCACGGACGACAUCACGCCCAGAUACGCCUCACAAUAGUAGGCGAAGAUGGACAGGAGAAGGAUGGAGUUGGGAUGAAGAUGCAGCACCUACAGCUUGUAGUGGCCGAUGACCUCAUAGAAGAAGUCAGAAAGGGGGGAACCAACCCCGCGGCUAUGUUGCUCGUGAAGAAGGGGAAGAACGCGCUUCCCUCGUGCUCCGGCACGUCGGAGGCAACCCGGAGCUCCGUCUUCCCCCUCUCGUUGCUCUCCCCCGCCGCCAGCAAGCGCGUAGCAGCGAGGUUCUUCUCCGAGACAUUGGGCGCGUCAAGAGCGGGUUCGUACCAGGUCGACGACGAGGAGGGCUUGACCUUGCGCUGA